AGCCUUAAUUGUUCACUCUCCUUCUUCCCCCUUCAUUCUUCUCCUUCAAUCGCGCCGCCGCGCCUCCUCCAAUACCCACCACCACCUCCGGUCUCCGCCUCAUCCCAUCAGCCGCUGCCUCACGCGUUGUUUCUGUAUUUCUGUUCCAGUUCAUCAAUUGAUAGUUUCAGUUUUGGCUCGGACUUUCACCUUUUUUCUUCACUCAGAUCGUUUCAGGAAAGUGUUUGUUCUUGAAGAUGUCAAUUUCAGAGUCUUCUACCCAAGACAUAGGGAGCAAUCAGCCAAUCCAUGAAAAUAUACUUGAAGAUAUUGAGGUUGAAGAACUAGAGCUCGAGGGAGAGGGAAUGGUGCCGCCGGCAUCAAAAAAGCGUAAACACGUAAUGAGGUCGGAUACAUGGAAAAAGUUUGAUAAAGUGGUUGAAGAUUCAAUUCAAAAAGGGAAAUGCAAACUGUGUGGAAAUACGAUAUGUGUUGAUCCAAAGAACAAUGGCACAUCCGCUAUGUGGAAGCAUCAUGCUUCAUGUUUGAAGAAAAAUGAAGCGGAAAAGAAUAAAACACCACUCAGCCAAGAUGAAUUGCGCCAAGACAUCCAAGAAAGAGGCAUAUACGCAUUAUGCAGGAUGAUUGUUCUUGAUGAACAACCAUUCAGGUUGGUGGAACGAGAGGGAUUUCGUUUAUUCUGUCGUGAUAUGUUACCAAGCUUUAAUAUCCCGAGCAGAUACACGGUAAGAUCGGAUUGUGUGAAGAUGUUUCUAGAGGAGAGGGAACUAUUGAAAGUGGUUUUCUCCAGACCAAGCAUGAGUAGAGUAUCAAUUACCACUGACUGUUGGACUGGAGUCAAUAACACAAGCUUUAUUUGUAUUACAUCACAUUUCAUCGACAAGGAAUGGAGGCUGCACAAGAAGAUAAUCAGCUUCUUUGACAUUACCACUCAUAAGGGGAUGAUAUUGCUAAGGUGUUGAUAAAGGCUCUUACGAACUGGGGCAUUCAGAGGCUUUUUUGUUGCACCAUGGACAAUGCUAAAAACAAUGGUGUAGCAAUCAAGGAAAUGAAGUCCACCUUCAAUGCGAGAGGCAUGCUUGUUGCCAAUGGGCAAUAUUUUCAUCAGAGGUGUGCUGCACACAUACUUAACUUGGUUGUUGAAGACGGCAUGAAACAAAUAGGCAUGGCUGUUGUACGAGUUAGAGAAGCCGUGAAAUGGAUAAAGGGUUCAUCAACAAGGUCUAAGGCCUUCAAGGAUAUUGCCAAGGUAUGUAAGGUUGAUACCAAAAAAUUCUUGUGACAAGAUGUACCUACUAGAUGGAACUCGACUUACUUAAUGCUCGAGGCGGCAUUGUCAUAUGAGCCGGUUAUGAAGCUGUUCAGCAACGUCACUCCCCAGUUUGGUAGGGAUUUGAGAAACCUGAAACAUAACGCGUACCUAGAGAAGAAGAUUAGAUUGAAGUGAGGAAGAUGUGUAGUUUUCUCCAUUCGUUUUAUGCUAUGACUCGUCUCAUCUCUGGCACCACGUAUGCCACAUCAUAUUCAUUUUUAAUGGAGAUAUGUGACAUAUUCCUUAUCAUAAAAAGGUUGGAGGAUGAUGAAGAUACUGAGAUUAGAUACAUGGCCAAGAAGAUGAUGGAAAAGCUUGGUAAGUAUUGGUUAGAGGGAGAUGAGCUUAAUCCAAACAUGAACAAAAUUCUGUACAUUGCUGCAAUGCUAGAUCCUAGACAAAAGAUGAAGCAUGUGCAGCAUUGUUUGAAGACGUUGUAUGGUGACGCUCGGGCAAAUGAAUUGGCAGAGGAGUUGAGAAAGUCAGUCUUUGACUUAUUUGAGUUGUACAAGAGAGAAUUCACUCCAGUGGCUGCUAAAACACAACCACAAACAGCUUCAGCUAGCCAAAUGUCGAAUAGAUCGACUAAUCUGUGAUUGCUUGGUAGAAGUUCUUGUAACAUUCUCUGUGUUGCUAGUGAGGAUGAUGAUGAUGAAGAUGGAAGCUCAGAGCUCACUCGUUACUUCGCAGAGAAGCAAUUCAAGGCCAAUGAAGAUGAUUUUGACAUUCUUAUGUGGUGGAAGACAUAUGGUAUUUCCUAUCCUAUUCUAUCAGAGAUGGCUAAAGAUAUCCUUGCUAUUCCUAUAUCAAGCGUUGCUUCUGAGUAGGCUUUCAGCAUGGGGGGUGUGUGUUGUCGAUAUUUAGAAACUCUUUGGCACCGGAAAUGGUAGAAGCUUUGAUAUGCUCCGAGGAUUGGUUGAGGUCCAAUUCUAGUUCUGCCGAUCUCAUGGAAGAAGAAGGAGAACCAAUACCAUUUUUGAAAAAGCAAUACUAUGAAACGGUGGAGAAGGAUGGCAAAGUGACGUGGCCAUUGGACGGUGCAGAAUUGGGAGAAUUGGAAAGAACUCAUUCAAGUGAUCAUGAUGAAAGCUAAAUUUAUCGUGCAUUUGGUUUGGAAUUUGAAAAUAUUGAUCUUGGAGUUUUUUUUUAAUAUUGGGAGAAUUGGAAAGAACUUUGAAUGGUUGUUGAAUUGAAUAGGUUGUCAACAUUGAUGGACUGACCUUUUGGUACUAAAUGUCUUCGGAUAAUACUACUAUCUCU